AAUUUUUCGGUUUUCUUGUUUUAAUAGUUAGGUACAUGAAAAUAUUUCCUCCAAAAUAGAUCAGCAGAUCCCUGGUUCUAUGCGUCCCACAUCCAGGAGGAUAUCUUCCACCAAAAAAAGCGGAAGUGGAUUCGGUUAAAAAAAGCAUACCCGUCGCAGACAAUCCUUUGGAAAAAGAGGAUCCUGGCUUUUUGUUUCCCGUUUCUUUGUUGGCUUAGGUUUGUCGAUAGUAUUGAGAAGGUAGGUAGAUUCCUUAUUUUGUAGUGCUGUGCUAAUUAAUCAUUACUUUUUGUUUACUCUUCCAUCACGGAGUCCAAUUUGUGAGAGGUGGCUUUGGGGAAAAGACCAGCUAAAGACAGUCUGUGUAAGCGACCUGGUGAGCGACCAUUGAUUCGUCGAGAAAAGGAAAUCCGGGGCCACCAAGUCUCUUGGUUUAUAACCAGUGUCGCUGCCUCAGUGAUUUUACCCGAAAGCGAGUCGAACGAAGUGCUCCUUAAUGACUCGGAGGAAAUUAGUGGUUCUAAAAGCGAACACCAUCUAAAACACACGAUGAAACCAAGGAAUCGUGCUACCAGUCCCCACGGGAGGGGGUGGAAAGACGAUUUGCUAUGACAAAAGAUUUCGCUUUCAUUCAGCCGGGUGCGUUGGAUCCUCCCUGAUUGCGGUGCUGGAUCGUCGUACGAGGCAGAUACUGUGUGGGGAGCGAUAUUUUUGGUGGCCGGUCUGGAUGCGUUGGCUAAUGCCUUGAUGGCUUGAGGCCUGUUGGGCUUGGAAGGAGUACGGUCAUGUUCCUCCGGAUGGAGGGGUUGGACCAUCGCCGCUUAGUUCGGUGGCACUCGAGUUCCCUUUGGCGGCGCGGCAUCACACGACGAAAAAUCCCGGUGGUGCCCUAUGGGUAUUGCCGCGCCGAUCAACCAAGGGGGCCCUUCAUCGGUUUAUCCGGUUAGGGCAUCGAGUGUCGGCAACCGAAACAGGGCCGCCAGGUAAGAUAGUGUCUAACCCAAUUUUUUUGUUUGUAUUUUUUAAGUUUCGUAUGGUAGACUAUUGGAGGUAUGUACCGCUGAUGUCGAUGGACUGGAAACAAGUACUAGUAGUUAUCACUAUCGAUAGUAUGAGGGAUGUUAGACCGAACUAUACCAUUAAAGUCGAUGCAGCGUUGUCAUGUAAGGCAGAUUUGACAAUUCUUCAGUGCCGUAGUCAAAGGAAACAGUAGUCACCCGAUGGCGAGCAAAAACGUGGGAACAAUAUUCGUAUGGUUGCUUUUUGGCGGGAUCAUCCAGUAGUGACUAUGAUCAAUUGGCAGCGAUGGUGACCCCAUGUAUAAUCGCAGCAUCGCAGUUCGAUACAACAGGAUCAACAAUGAGAAAAGUAACAAAACAGAUAAUCCACGAUUAUUCUUCGCUGAUCCUAUUCGAAAUCAACAUGCCAUCGUUCCCGGGACUUUAUGGCCUGAACUACCCGAGUAGUGGACUACUGUUAAGGUUUCACAAAGUAAUAAACUUAGGGGAAGAUUCUAAUUUUUAUAUUAUUAUUCCAAAAAAAAGUCACAUUCCGAAGAAAAAUCGCCCUAAAUAAUAUUUUGUGAUAUUUUUUUGUGGGAUAUGCUGUUUUUCACGAUUUUCCAGCUUGGAAAACUUGUGCCAUUCACCUCGUAAUACACUCAUUAUUAUCUGUUUUGGUUAUUUAAUAUGUGUGCAAAAUGUAAAUGAAAAGAAGGAAAAAUAAAUAAUAUAAAUUACAUCAAUAUUAGAA